UCAAGAAACUUCCACAAUGGGCGAAAGCCUGAUGGAGCGACGUCGCGUGAUGGACGAAGUGCUUCGGCACGUAAACAUCUUUUAUGUGGGAUGAAAUUAUUGACAGUACCACAUGAAUAAGGGGCUCCUAACUCUGUGCCAGCAGCCGCGGUCAUACGUAGGUCCCAAGCGUUAUCCGGAAUUACUGGGCGUAAAGAGUUGUGUAGGUGGUUUAUUAAGUUGGUAGUGAAAGCGUGCGGCUCAACCGCAUAUCCAUUAUCAAAACUGGUAGACUAGAGGGCGAGAGAGGUUAUUGGAAUUUCUAGUGUAGGAGUGAAAUCCGUAGAUAUUAGAAGGAACACCGAUGGCGUAGGCAGAUAACUGGCUCGCACCUGACACUCAGACACGAAAGCGUGGGGAGCGAACGGGAUUAGAUACCCUAGUAGUCCCUGAGCGGGCUGGCAAGGCGCAU
rnacentral:rRNA from 1 species